AUUGAACGCUGGCGGCAGGCCUAACACAUGCAAGUCGAGCGGAGCGGCGGACGGGUGAGUAAUGACUAGGAAUCUGCCUGGCCGUUGGGGGUAACGUACGGAAACGGGCGAUAAUACCGACUACUAUCAGACGAGCCAAGGUCGGAUUAGCUAGUUGGUGGGGUAAAGGCCUGCCAAGGCGACGAUCCGUACCUGGUCUGAGAGGAUGAUCAGUCACACUGGAACUGAGACACGGUCCAGACUCCUACGGGAGGCAGCAGUGGGGAAUAUUGGACAAUGGGCGAAAGCCUGAUCCAGCCAUGCCGCGUGUGUGAAGAAGGUCUUCGGAUUGUAAAGCACUUUAAGUUGGGAGGCGUUACCAACAGAAUAAGCACCGGCUAACUUCGUGCCAGCAGCCGCGGUAAUUC
rnacentral:rRNA from 1 species